AUUAAAAAGUCAAUAGGGCUGGGGCCCAUCUUUCAGAAGUCUGUGCAGGAUCAAGCUGUUCAGCUGCUCUGAGCAGCCCUGGUCUUCUGCCAGGGCUUCACUGACUGUCAUUACCUGGUGGCAGAAAAGAAAGAGGCUCUUUGGAGUUUGUAGGUGGCAGCCCCUGUGAACCGAAGACCACAAGGUUCAUCUCCAUCAUCAAACAAAGAAGACCAACAGGAGCAAACCUGGAGAUGAGUGCUGCAAUCCAUCCAUGUGGGCUUUCUGUGUUGAAUCCUUCAUGCCAGAGCACUGCAUUUCAGACCAUGUUACAGGAAACUUGUCUCGUGGAGGUAAACAAAG
rnacentral:lncRNA from 1 species